rnacentral:rRNA from 1 species
CGGGACGGGUGAGUAACACGUGGGUAACCUGCCUAAAAGAAGGGGAUAACACUUGGAAACAGGUGCUAAUACCGUAUAUCUCUAAAGAUCGCAUGAUCCUUAGACGAAAGAUGGUUCUGCUAUCGCUUUUAGAUGGACCCGCGGCGUAUUAACUAGUUGGUGGGGUAACGGCCUACCAAGGUGAUGAUACGUAGCCGAACUGAGAGGUUGAUCGGCCACAUUGGGACUGAGACACGGCCCAA